rfam:Canis lupus familiaris chromosome 3, whole genome shotgun sequence.
GUUCUUGCUUAGCAGAACAUGUACCAAAAUUGGAACAAUACAGAGAAAAUUAGGAUGGACCCUGAGCAAGCAUGACACACGAAUUUGUGAAGCAUUCUAUAUUUUC